CCAAGCUGGUACUACCCAGAUGACGUUUUUCGCCGCCACCAGGCCCCGCUAUUAUACCACAAACUCGAGCGCAAGACGCCCAUAAGCUGGUACUUC
rnacentral:lncRNA from 1 species